rnacentral:rRNA from 1 species
UACGUAGGGCGCAAGCGUUAUCCGGAAUUAUUGGGCGUAAAGAGCUCGUAGGCGGUUUGUCGCGUCUGCCGUGAAAGUCCAGGGCUCAACCCUGGAAUGCCGGUGGAUACUGUCGGGCUCGAAUCCGGAAGAGGUGAGUGGAAUUCCUGGUGUAGCGGUGAAAUGCGCAGAUAUCAGGAGGAACACCGAUGGCGAAGGCAGCCCCCCUGGGCUAACACUGACGCUCAGGCACGAAAGCGUGGGGAGCAAACAGG